rnacentral:lncRNA from 1 species
CCCCAUCUCUUGUUCUUUCAUUAAAACCAAACCAAACAAAACCAAACCAAACAAAACAAAACCCAGGAAGGCUGCAGGCUGGGUGCUGAAAGGAGCCUCUGGCAGAUUAUAGCUGACCUGUGGGGAUCAUGACUGCACACCAAGUUCCCUUGUCCCGGCCAAGACUGCCAAGGAAUCACAGGGCUAAUCAGGCAAGGGGCUGUCAGUAGCCAGUAGCCUAACUCAUGAUGUCCCGAGAUCAUAGCCUUUUAGCUCAGGGAUACCUAAACUUACUUUUUACUUACUCCACCUACAAUAAAAAACAAUGGCUUUAUUUCUUUUAAGGAGUGGUAAGGGCUCAUUGUAUCUGAGCACUCACCUAAAGAAGAUUCUAGGAAGCAGUAGGAGAAAAAUAUUUCUGCUAAGGUUAAUGAGAUAUUAAAAGUGACUUACGAUAGAACUAUUAGCAGACACUCUCUGGAAAUUCCUUAUUUCUUAUUGUCUUAAAAUACUUUUAAUAAUUAUUAUGUUAAGUAUAAAAGGAUAUAAAUCAAAACCACUAACCAACUGGAUGGACUUUUAAGAGGUGUUUAGGAUUAGCUUCCUGAGUUGAGAAAUAGGCCUGAACCUGUCUCAUCCCUAAAGAUCUUGCUUGUGGGAGGAAAUAGAAUAGGCUUUCAAAAAUGAACUCAUGUCUUCCUAGGUCAAGGCAGAUGGACUCCGCUGUGUCAAAAUGGAUGGUGUAGGUAUGAGCCUGGUAAUGGUAGCUGCUGACAGUCACGAGUGUGUGAUGCCCACUAAGGAUCAGAAAACACACUGGGCCAGGAUCAUUAAUCAGUAGCAUAUGUGGCUAUCAAGAGGAAGGCAGUGUUCCCCUGACGGCCGCUACAACGCUGACUUUAUGAUCCAUAACUGCACACAAAUAUAUCAGUGAGAUACAGAUUCUCAUGGCCUAUAGAGAUUGUACACUCUGUGUACAAUCAUUCAUUUUGUCACAGAAUAAACACUAUUCACAAAGCACUCUCCACAUAAUGACAAAAUACAAGCUACCCAUAAUCAGGAGUCUUAGCAGCUGAGCAGUGGAAACUGAUAUGCACAGAUUUCUUACAUUUUCUCCUGGCAUGAGUCAGCUGAAAGCUGAUAGUUGUCUUCAAUUUAAAGCCGCUCAAUAAAAGUAUAUGGGAAACCUGAAGUCCCAGGCUCUUGUGUAGGACUCAAGAUCUUGAGCAAACUCGCAUCUAGGCCACGGUUGUAUUUUCACAAAUUAAGGGUGCUCACUCAGAUAAUCACGGUCCUUUCAGUCACAAAACGUGGGCAAAGGCCACCCUUUCAUUUCCAACUUGUGUAAUUCUUAGUUUCCUCAAAACUAAAAUGAGGAUAAUAUAGCAUAUUUAACCAGGUUGUUGUGAGAAUUAAUUUCAAAUCAGUGUAGAAUGCUGUGUAUUUCUUAGUAGAACACCGGCUUGCAGCUGUUCAAAAUAGAUUGUAUCUACUUGACUUCAAAAAAAAAAUCACAGAGUAGCAUGGAAUUGAUGGGCUCAGCCAUAAUACACAUGAGACUUUAAAGGUAAUAUGCACAAUGCCUCUUUUUAGUUGUUGUUGUUUAAUAAUGAUCCUUCAGUAACUGGAAGUGACUGGUUGUAGGAUGUUCCUCAGUUCUGAUGCUAAGACCCCAAAUCUAUGGAUGCUCUAGUCUGAAUAUAAAGUAGCUUACUAUUCCUUCUAACAUACACACCCCUCCUGUGUAGCUUAAAUUGUCUCUACAUUAUAAUACCAAGUAAAACACAAAUAUCACAUAUUCAUCAGAAAAAAAUUUGAAAUGUCUUGUGUAUGUUCAGUAUAGAUGUAAACACCACAUGCCUAACAAAAGAGCACGCAGUCUAAGUUGGUUAAAUCUGUGGGCAUGAAAACUGCAGAUACCGAGUGUUGACUGUCCUGUAGCAUUUUGCUCACUCGGUACUGUUUGAUGCUUACUAAAUCACCAUUCUGUGAUAGCCAGCGAGAAGGAAGGAAGGAAUAUGGAAGAUUUCUGGCUGCUUGGAAGCAGCAGACCAUCUCUUAGCUAUAAGGCAAGGGUAUGCGGACAGCAAUCCUCUCUCCUCAGCUGGAUGACUAUAAAAUUUAUCAUCCUAACUGGGACACUUCUCGAGUUAGAAUGGGCUCACACAGGGAUGCACAUCCCUGCUAAAUUUAAGGGUUACUUUUGUGACAGCUGUUGUUACUUUAAAGCUAUGUCUGAUGUCCUAAUGAGGAACAAACUGCAAAAUAAGAUUUCCUCCAAUCAACCAAUUUAAAACCUUUUGUGUUCUUAAGAGGCAUGUCAAAAGGCCAUUUAUUUUGAAGCAUAAUGACUUUUAUAAUAUAUUAUAAUAGAGUGGUUGCAUUUUUAUUACUGGUUUGCAGGGUGUGUGUGUGUGUGUGUGUGUGUGUGUGUGUGUGUGCAGGAUCCAGAAACUUUGUAAAAGGGCUGAUCGUUUUGUGAGCCAUAUGGUCAUUGUCACUGCCACACAACUAUUUCCUUGUAGAACAAAAUCAGUGGCAAACAAUAUGUAAAAAGGAUAGGUGGGUCUAUGUUUACAAAAAAAUGCAGGAGGUUGGAUUUAGCUGGUGGGCUGCAGUUUGUCAUCUCUUGCUUAAAAACUAUGGUAUUCAGAGUUUUAGAGUUCAUAAGAUCAAGGAAAAAUUUUAAAUCUAAAAUUGGCUUAGUAUUUUUAACUUGGAUUAACUAAGUAAGGGUGUCCUAUCUAUCUAUCUAUCUGGCAUUGGGAGGGGGGCAUAUUGAGGGGCCAUGAAGAAAUUGGGGAGGAAAAAUGGUGGCAUAUAUGAUCUGAUCAUAUUUAAUUGUAUACAUGUGUGAAAUUCUCAAAAUGCAGGAAAAAAAUCAACUAUUAGAACUGCAAAUAGCAGAAACUAGAAAGGGUAUAAACUCAGAACAAUUUUAUCUUAAUGGAAAAGCUGCCAUAGCGCCUUUAAUUGAAAAUAUUUUUUUGCUUGGUGACAAUUCACAAUGAAUAUGCUCAGGUCAAACAGAUGAACAGUGUCAGUGUAUGCUUUUGGAGAACACUGGGCCAUGUCAUGGUUGAAAGAAUAUGGUGUUUACAGGACUACGUCUUUACGUCUGAGGAAGGUUGAAGAAGAGUGAAGAAGUGAGAGAUAGAGCUUGGGUGUUCAUUUAAGCUAUUCUGAGAAAGUGUCCUUAUGUCUUAAAUCAUUGCUACCAACGUAAACUGUAGUUGGAAGUAACUUUGGGACUCACCAGCUGCCACUGUGCAGGGUACCAGGCUGGGGGGCAAUUGAAACGGUUGCAGGCUUGCACUGUGCUGGGUUUGGGGUGAUGGCACAGCUCAUCGGCCAGGACAACCACCUCGUUCAUCUCUCUGGAGAGUAGGUGGGAAC